rnacentral:lncRNA from 1 species
AAAAGGGUUCCCACUUAUGAAUUGCAAAAACGACUUAGUUGGUGAGGAACUUUGAAGAAGAAAAGCAUAUAGUUAGACAAAGUUUGUAGUCCAAAAAGACAUUCCAUGGCACACUUCAAAUAGGUUGGUGACAUUGGUGCUACUAAUUUACUAGCAAAGAUACCAACAAAAGGAAAUUAAUGAGGUGCAUAUUUGUGGAGUGACAAAGUUAACAGAAGUAUUGAAUUUACAGGACAAGUAGGUGAAAGUGAAAUUUCAUACUACAAAGACAGCUUAUUGUAAAAAGAAAAAAUGUGGUCCAAUUGAUUCAAAAUUAAUUUUUUCAUGUAAUAGGCUUGUCAUUACACCUAAUUGGUAAAUGAAGAAGAAAAACUCUGCUCUAUGGGGCCAUGAAAUUCUCCAGAUUCUUUGCAUUGCCUUGUAUAACAAAUAAAAUCUCUAUCUGCUUCUCCCAUAAUUGGUAGUGACAUUACCUAACACUCUUAUAUUAAAAUGUAACCAUUUUCUUAAAUCAUUAAAAUUAUAUGGAAAGCCAGAGCGGACUAAGCAAACAGAUUCUCCAACUGUCUUCCAACUACAUUGAAAGUUUUACUUAAUUAAGCAAGAAUAUUAUACAACAUAUAUUGUUGUUAGCCCAAAUCCUUCCUCUUAUUCUUCUUCUUCAAAUGGAAGAAAUAUGCACGCGCAGUAAGAAGAAGGAUUGAUUUAUUUAAUUGAAUGGGACAUAAUCUCAUACUUCAGAAAAAGAUAAUACAAAGUGGGGCACAAUCCCUAUCAAGAAUUGCCAUGUGGGCGUUAAGUGGAAGAUGGGCGGCUUACAGUGAAAACUUGACAGGAAAAACAUAUGCGGUUGUCUUGUAUUAUUAAGCUAACUUAACAGCAAUAGAGGAUAGUCAAUUUUUCUUUUUGUAAAAACAAAAAAGGGUGAAUAAAACAAAGCACUAACUUUCAGAAGCAAAAUCUAGAUAUAAAAAAUUGCCGACCAGAGUUCCUUUUGACAGUGGUUUAGAAUCAGCUAAGGCUGUUGGAGUUCUUCACGUCACCUUAUAUAUACAAAUAAUGUAUAAUUGAUAUUUCACUAUCAUGGCUUUAAGCAUUUCAUAGAGGGUGGGAGUCUUAGAAUAUUUAUAUAAUUGAUGUUUCAUUGUCAUGGCUUUCAUGAAGGGUGUGAGUGUGGAACCGCGUAGCAUAGAAUUUGAUUACUGUCCUGA